rnacentral:lncRNA from 1 species
AAAAAAACCUAGACUAUACACAAAAAAAGCUUCAGCCGUUUUUCAGAAUUUUAAACCCUAGGACCCCUUCUUCUUCUUCCUUAAGACUUAACCCUAGAUAAUCUCCCAAAGAAGAACCAAGCCGCACCCUCGCAGCUAUCCGCCAAGGUCUCCGGGAAGAUUCACAUUUCUGUCAAGUUGUCGUUGUUUAAGUUUUCCGGUGUUGCAUUUUCAGAUUUCAUUUGGCAAAAAUAUACCUAAGGUUCGUUCCUAAACUUAUUCUGGAUUAAUAUAAAUUUUGAUGUUUUGUGCAUGUAUAUGUGAAUGAAUUAAGUUCUGUUUAUAUCACAUACUAAAAUUGUUGUUUAAUGUAGGCUGUUGCAUUGGUUAAUUAAGAAGAAUUUAGGUUUAAGUUGAUUAUAAACAUAAAUGGUUUGUUUUGACAAUUUCGUCUGUAAUUAGAAGUUAAUAAUGAAUUGGGGUCAGGUUGAUAAAACUAGAAAAGGUUUUUGUCGAGGAAGUUGAUUUGGAGUUUUUUUUAAAAAUAAAAAAAAAUGGGGCUCGAGAGCAUUUUCCAUUAUUUUACUUAUGUUGUUGUCUAAUUGUGUCGAUAGAAUGUAUGUUUAGGCCCUCCACAUCUAGAUGUACAUUUCAUGUGACCUGACUUCUUUCCAAUAAUGUUAAACAAAAUAAACAUGUCAUGAAUUGCAGGUGCAUUUAAUAUAGUGUGUUUUAUGAUGUGUUUUCCAAAACGACAAGUGUACGACAAUCGUGACUUGUUCCAGAAAUAACUCCAUAAAUACUAAAAACGGUUAAAAAGUUAAAACAUGCACAAAUAGGUUCUAAAUACGUAAUGAAUCAUAUAAUUAGGCCAAUUAUUAAUAGUUGAGCGACCGUGCUAAAACCACAAAAUUCGGGAAUGCCUAAUACCUUUUCCCGAGUUAACAAAAUUUCUUACCCAGAUUUCUGUGUCCGCAGACCAUAAAUAAGAGUCAAACUUCCUUGAUUCGGGAUUUUAAAUCGGUGACUUGGGAUACCAUAAAUUAUCCCUAGUGGCGACUCUGAAUUUGAUAUAAAUAAUCCCAUUUCGAUUUUGUCACUUUAAUUGGAAAACUCCCUUAUACCCUUUCGCGUAGAAAAAGGAGGUGUAACAAGUUUUUGUUAGAUUCCGUGGCAUUCAUCUAUUGCAACACCUAUGACUAGGCUGACCUAGAAAGGGUGCUCUAUUCCAGUGGACGGAAGAGUGUGAAGUGAGCUUCCAGAAGCUUAAUAUAGCUUUGACUACAGCCCCAGUUUUGAUAUUGCCUACAGGUUCAGGGUCUUAUACUGUCUAUUGUGAUGCCUCGAGGAUUAGCCUUGGAACGGUAUUGAUGUAGGAUGGUAGGGUGAUUGCCUACGCGUCCAGACAGUUGAAGGUACAUGAGAAGAAUUAUCUUAUCCAUGAUCUCGAGUUAGCUAGUAUUGUUCAUGCAUUGAAGAUCUGGCAUCAUUAUUUGUACGGUGUUCCUUGUGAGAUCUAUACUGAUCACCAGAGUUUGCAGCACCUGUUCAAGUAGAAGGACCUUAAUUUGCACCAGAGGAGGUCGUUAGAGCUGCUAAAGGACUAUGAUAUCACUAUCUUGUAUCACCUAGGCAAGACCAAUGUGGUGGCUGAUACUUUGAGUCGCUGGGCGGAGAGUCUAGGGAGUUUUGCUUAUCUACCAGCAGCGAGAGGCCCUUGGCGAUGGAUGUUUAGGCCUUAGCCAACCAGGUUGUGAGAUUGGAUCUUUCCGAGCCCAGUCGGAUUCUAGCUUGUAUGAUUUCUCAGUCUUCCUUAUUUGAUCGUAUCAGAGAGCGUUAGUAUGAUGACCCUCAUUUACGCGUCCUCAAGGAUAAGGUCCUGCAUGGCGAUGCUAGAGAUGUGAAUAUUAGUGAUAAUGGGGUAUUGAGGAUGUAGAGUCAGAUAUGUGUACCCAAUGUUGAUGGGCUUCGGGAGUCGAUUCUAGAGGAGGCCCAUAGUUCGCGGUAUUCCAUCCAUUCGGGUGCUGCGAAGAUGUACCAGGAUUUGAGUCAGGACUAUUGGUGGAGGCGAAUGAAGAAAAAUAUAGUUGGGUUUGUAGCUCGGUGCCUCAAUUGUCAGCAGGUGAAAUAUGAGCACCAUAGACCGGGUGGGUUGCUUCAGCAGAUAGAGAUUCCAGAGUGGAAGUGGAAGCGGAUCACCAUGGACUUCGUAGUUGAACUCCUACGGACUUUGAAGAAGUUUGAUGCCAUUUGGGUGAUUGUGGAUUGGCUGACCAAGUCCACGCACUUCAUUCCUGUGUGUACUACCUAUUCUUUAGAGUGGUUGGUAGAUAUUUAUAUCCGGGAGAUUGUUCGUCUACAUGGUAUUCCAAUUUCCAUCAUUUCAUACAGAGGUACUCAGUUCACAUCACGGUUCUGGUGGGCCGUAUAGCAUGAGUUGGGUACUCGGGUGGAGUUGAGCACAUCAUUUCACCCCCAGAUGGACGGACAGUCCAAACACACUAUUCAGAUUCUUGAAAAUAUGCUCCGUGCGUGUGUGAUGGAGUUUGGAGGUUCUUCGGAUCAGUACUUGCCACUGACGGAGUUUGCCUACAACAAUAGUUAUCAGUCCAACAUUUAGAUGGCACCGUAUGAGGCCUUGUAUGGUAGGCGGUGUAGACCCCCGAUGGGUUGGUUUGAGCCGGGUGAGGCAAGAUUAUUGGGUAAAGACUUGGUACAGGAUGCCUUAAAUAAGGUUAAGGUGAUUUAGGAUAGACUCCGUACAGCCAAGUCUAGAUAGAAGAGUUACGCAGAAUGGAAGGUUCGUGAUGUUUCCUAUAUGGUUGGAGAGCGGGUCUUGCUUCGGGUUUCGCCUAUGAAGGGGGUUAUGAGAUUGGGAAGAAAGGAAAAUUGAGUCCGAGGUUUAUUGGUCCUUUUGAGAUAUUGCGACAUGUUAGGGAGGCUGCUUAUGAGCUUGCCUUACCUCCAAGCUUGGCAGGAGUUCAUCCGGUAUUUCAUGUUUCGAUGCUCAGGAAGUAUCACGAUGAUCCGUCGUACGUGUUAGAUUUCAGUUCAGUCUAGUUGGAAAAGGAUCUAUCUUAUGUUGAGGAGCCAGUGGCGAUAUUGGACAGGCAGGUUCGAAAGCUGAGGUCAAAGAAUGCAUCAGUGAAGGUUCAGUGGCGGGGUCAGCCGGUCGAGGAGGCGACUUGGUAGACCGAGCAGGAUAUGUGCAGUCGUUACACUCAUCUUUUCACUACUUCAGGUAUGUCUCUAUGCUCGUUAGUGGAUGAACGAAUAUUUUAAGAGGGGAAAGAGGUAACGACCCGGCUGGUCAUUUUAAGAAUUUACACUAUGAUCCUCUAUUAACUGCUUUUCCCAUGUUUGUUUCUGCUAUUUUGAUUUGUCGGGAUAAUUCGUUGUGAGUUUCGGAGUGUUUUGGGACACUUAGUCCCUCAAUGAGAGCUUAAGCUUUAGAAUUUGGACCGUAGUCGGAGUAGUGUGAAGACGGUCUCGGAAUGGAAUUCCGUCGAUUCUGUUAGCUCCAUUGAGUGAUUUUGGGUUUAGGGGCGUGUUCGGAUUGUAUUUUGGAGGUUCGUAGCUUAUUUAGGCUUGAAAUGCCGAAAGUUGAAUUUUUAAAGUUUCCAGAUCGAUAGUGAGAUUUUAAUUUCGGGGUUGGAAUCCGAUUUCGAGAGUUGGAAUAGCUCCGUAGGGUUGAAUGUGACUUGUGUGCAAAUUUUGGGGUCAAUCGGAUUUGGUUUGGUUGGUUUUAUCAUCGGGUGUAGGAUUCUUGAGAUUUCUAGUUCAUAAGGCUUAGAUUGGAGGGUGAUUCGUGGUUUUAGCUUAGUUUGAUGAGAUUCGAGGGUUGGAAUAAGUUCGUAUGAUGUUUUAAGAUUGGUUGGCAUAUUUGGUUGAGGUCUCGGGGGCCUCGAGUGAGUUUCAGAUGUCUAACUUAUUUUCAUGCAUUAGAAUUGAUUCAUUUAGCAUUCAUUGAUAUAGUUAAGUAACUUGUGAAUAGAUAUAAGCAAAUUGGUGGUGGAAACAAGAGGUAAAGCGGUAGUUGAGGCUUGAAUUGUGUUCGUGGCAUCGAGGUAAGUGUUUGGUCUAACCUUAGCUUGAGGGAUUAGGAAUUGUGUCCUAUUUGCUAUGUGUUAGUUGUUGAGUACGAUGUAUAGGCAUGGUGAUGAGUAUCUAUACAUUGGUGUCAAGCAUCCCCGUGAGUCUUAUACUAUGGUUUAUGUGGCUCUGUUUCAUAUUGUUCAUGCUUUAUAUAGUGAUUUCUAUUAAUGAACAAGACUUGUGAAAGUAUCCUUGGUAAUUGAACAUUGUAGAGCAUUGGCUCAAGUUGAGAAUCGAGUAGUUGAAUAUUGUAGAGUAUUGGCUCAAGUUGAGAAAUUGAGUUGUGAAGUAAAUGUGGAAAAGAGAAGAGGUUUAUGACAUUAUCUCCCUUGUCGGGAUGUUUUUGCUUCGAUAUUAUUUUUCUUGCCGGGACGUUAUUAUUCAUGAUAUUGCUUUCCCUUGCCGGCAUAUUGUUGUUGUGUUAUUAUUCCCUUGCCAGGAUUUAAUUGUAAUUUUAUUGAUACCCUUGCCCUUAUUGCUUUGUGAUUGUUGUUUGGGUAAGGAAGAGUGUUAAAGCACGAAAGGUGAUGCCAUGCAUGAUAUUUGUGAGAGAGUGUAAAGCACGAAGGGUGAUGCCGUAUAUGAUUUUGAGAUCCCGGUGCAGCACGAACUGUUUGUAGAUCCCGGUGCAGCAGCUUUUGGACCGCAGUGAAGAUGCUGUCUUCAGUCCAUUCAGGCGACCUGGGGUAGUCCUGCAUGCGUCCGCAGGCCUUGGCAUCUCCUCCUAUCAUUUCCUUUCUGUUUUUACUUAUUCAGAGACAGAUUCGUGUAUUUCUAUUCAAACUGUAUUUGUAGUAUUCAUAGAUGGUCCGUGACAUUAUGGAACCAAAUUCUAGGUAGAGUUAUACUUAGACUUCUACAGUUUGUAUUAAUUUAAAUUAUCACAUUUCGUCUUCCGCA